GUGAUUGCUUUGGCACCACAUAUACUAAAAUUGGCAUGAGACAGAGAAAAUUAGCAUGACCCUUACACAAAGAUGGCAUGUAAAUCUAUGAGGCAUUCCAUAUUUUU
ensembl:snRNA U6 U6 spliceosomal RNA